GGACUACUGGGGUAUCUAAUCCUGUUUGCUCCCCAUGCUUUCGCACCUCAGCGUCAGUAUUAGGCCAGAAGGCUGCCUUCGCCAUCGGUAUUCCUCCAGAUCUCUACGCAUUUCACCGCUACACCUGGAAUUCUACCUUCCUCUCCCAUACUCUAGCUUGCCAGUAUCGAAUGCAAUGCCUAGGUUGAGCCCAGGGAUUUCACAUCCGACUUAACAAGCCGCCUACGCGCGCUUUACGCCCAGUAAUUCCGAUUAACGCUCGCACCCUCUGUAUUACCGCGGCUGCUGGCAC
rnacentral:rRNA from 1 species